CUGCCUAAAACCCAGGAGGAAAUGGAACUGUCUGUGGAAGUAAUCUUCCUGUUCUACAGUAUUGUGGGUGCAGUGACUUUGAUAGUAAUGUCAUGUCUGGCCGUGUCCGCCCUGCGUUCCACAAAGAGUGAGGCCAUUAUAGUGAUGACUGCUGCACAGGCUGAAGCACCAGUGGAAUAACAAGAAUAAGAGAAACGUCUGAAGCAGGAUAAAUGUCAGAGAGAAGCAAUAAGAACCGCACAAUAGGAUUUAUGAUUGCAAAAUAGCAUUUCUAAUUAUUUGUUGGCUAUAUAGAAUGAAAUACAGGCAUGUGAGUAUAUGUAUUGCCUUUUGGUGUUUAUGUGAUAUAUUACUGCUUCCACCAGCCUGUGAGCAUUGUAUUUCAUUCGUUUGAACAUUUGCCACCAGAUUCAACAGGGUGAUAGCAUUGAUGUUUUACUUUCACUGCUCAGGCAAUUAACUGAUACUAACUCUGGGUUCUACCUGUCAGCACAUUGUAUUUGCACUUUUAUGCAACAGGACAAAGGUCUGAGUCAAACCAAUGUCUCUCUGAUAUGGUUAAAGAACGUUUGUGUGGGCUGUUUUAGUUUCUCAAAAAACACAUAAAUCAAUGUUCAAUGUUUGCUCAUUUGUACCACAUUUGAUAUACUGUAUCUAAUUAUCUUUAUCAAUGGUUUAUAGAUCAUUUACUGAUACUUGAUGUAUCAGUUGUAUGCCAUUAUUUAGAGCAUAUUUUGUGUUGAGAAGCUGUUAUUCUUCUCCAACAUGAUUUUAUAUGCUUUGUAUCCAAACAUUUCAGCGAUUCUAAUAGUGUAUAUAAAAAAAAAAGACUCAUCAUAUUAGAACAAGUAUUGCAUACUUAUCACUAUUCAAGGUUUCUCACUCACAGAAGCAAACGUUUAAAAGUCUUUGAUUGAAACCUUAAUUCUUCAUUAAUGCUUAAUCAUUUUAGAGCCGCAGACAUGACGGCUCAAUAGAAAGUGAGUAUUUGUUAAUGGUUGGCAGCUAUAGGAUUGCAUUGUUACCAGAGAGUAACACAAAGAUAUGUCGAGAGAGAGAUUUUAUUCAAACAACAACACAGUGGUAACAUGUGAAAAUGAAAAUGUAUGUUAACAACUCAAGCCAUAAACAUGUUGCCUCUUGUAAAGUGUUCUUUAUUUUUGUAUUAUCUUAACAAAUCCCUUACAGAAGAUUUUGGCAUGAACAAGACAGAAGCUGCACAGAACCACAAGGCUGUCCUUGACGAUGUUUCUCACAAUGUCAGCUCAUGUUUCAGCAGCAGCAGCAGCAGCAGCAGCAGCUUUAAGUACCCCCAGUCUGCACUUACAGAGGACAGCAUAAGUGCAGAGUUUAU